AGGGAUGUAGCUCAGGGGUAGAGUGUUUGUCUACCACACAUGAAGCUCUGGGUUCUAUCCCCAGCACCUUA
rnacentral:tRNA from 1 species